CCUCUCUCUCAAAUAAUCAAUCAAUCAAUCAAUCUUUAAAAAAAGAUUGUUUGGAUGAUUUCUGUUAUAAUUUAAGUAUUUGUACUCUUUGACCUAGCAAUUCUACUGAAAUGUUCACAUAGAUUUGCAAAAAAUAUGUAAAAGAAUGUUUAUCGCUGUAUUAGUUCAUUCAGUGAAUACCUGGGGAGAUUCUCCUAUGAACUUGGCACAUCUCUGGGCACACAGCAGUGAAACAAAACAAAGUCCUUACUUUCAUGAAACUUUUGAGGCCUUUGGUGGAGAUACACAAUGCAUAAGUAAACAAACAUACAAAAAAAUAUCAAGGGGGGCGCCUGGGUGGCUCAGCCGGUUGGGCGUCUGCCUUCGGCUCAGGUCAUGAUCCCGGGGUACUGGGAUCGAGCCCCGCAUCGGGCUCCCUGCUCCGCGGGAAGCCUGCUUCUCCCUCUCCCACUCCCCCUGCUCGUGUUCCCUCUCUCGCUGUGUCUCUCUCUGUCAGAUAAAUAAAAUCUUUAAAAAAAAACAACUCAGGUCUUAAAAAAAAAAAGUAUUAAGGGAUUAAGAAGUGGUAGAGGGUUGGAGGGAAAUGCUAUUUUAUAUCGUGUGAUCUGGGAAAGGCUUUCUGAGGAGGCGGUAUUUGAGCAGGAACCUGCAUGAAGUGAGGGAAUCAGCCAAAUGACAUCUGAAGGACGUAUAUUCUAGGCAUUGUUUAUAAUACCACAGAUUGGAGGCCACCCAAAUGUCUGUCAAAUACUGAGUAACCACAGUCUGCAAAAUAAUGAGAGAGCUAUAUGUACAGAAUGAAAAGAUAAGAUAAAAUGAAAAAAAUGUUACAAACACUUUAAAAAAGUAUCCUGAGCAAAUAUAUUUAUCACAGGGAAGACAUCUAGGGAAAUACACAAAAGUGUCAAAAAAAAAACCAAAUCCCCAAAACCUGUUAAGAGUUGUUGUAUGGAUUGAAUGAGAGAACAGGUCGAAGUGCCGAGGUGCCAACUAAAGAGAGCCUAACCAGAGACUAAGGAAGGUCUUAGUACUAUCUCUAAAACAGGAUGGAGCACACAAGUCCUGAAGACCCAUACCUUUGCUUUUUUUUUUUUUUUUAAUCCGGGGAGAGCGUGACUGCAGUCCCCCGCUACCACAAAUUAUGCAGUGGAGUUUCCCACAUCUGGGGAAAUCACAGGGGUCGGCACAACCGGAGUGCAAUAGAUAAGCCUUGCCCUGGGACAACCACCUUCGUGAUCAUGGUACCUCCCCUGCCAGUGUGAUAUUUUCCAUUCUGGGGCAUGAGCUAUGGACAGCCUUACAUCUGAAGCAAGAGAGUACCAAGUAGAAUGGAGGAAAGAUGCAGAACCACAGCCACGGACCAUCUGGUGAUAUUUUCACACUCUGGACCACGUGAUGACAGUGCUACGGCCUGUUCUCCUGCAGCGGCCUCAAGUUGUGUCUGGGAGAGUGGGGGCUUUUCUCGGACUAAGUGUUGCCCUGAGCCUCGUCUGGAUCACGUUGCAGUUACGCUCCUUCCGGCUCCGUUUGUAAAGCGUACUCUUGUUUCAUCAAGUGUCUUUGGGGAAUUUUCAACUCUGGAGGGCCCCUCUCUGCAUCCCACACUGGGAAGAAACCGCGCACCCGCUUUCCUAGCAACUCUCUGCCCAUCAGCUGGUCUUCCCUUGGGCCCCGGAGGUCCUGUUCCCGGGAAGGCAGGCAGGCAGGGGACACACCAGCAGCAUCCCUCUGCCCUUUUCUCUGGUGCUGGUAAGAAGGCAUUUUCUCUUGAGCCGAGGGACAAUCGGGCCGGCCUCCGAGCGGAGUCCAGCUCAGCCCCAUCCAGUCUACCUGGCAAAGGGGCUGGGCUGAGGGAGAAGGCCUGUGAUCUGAGCAAAGGCAGCUGUCAGGGGAGCAGGGAGGCUGACAGCCUGGGCUUGGUCCUGGGAAGCACAGCAGGCCUGGGUGGGCCCCGCAGAGGAGCCCCCGGGCAGUGGCCACGACCUUCACUGGGAGGCCAGAGCACCACCCUGUGAUUUUGCAGAUCCUCUUCUUCCUCUCUCUUCCCAUGCCAGCCCUUUCUGAGCCUUAGCAGGCCUCAGCUGGGAGUUCUUCUAUGUGUGUUUAAAUGUCUCAGUCAAGAGUGAAGACUGGAUCUGUGUGUGACUAAGACCUUUUCUGAUGUUAAGUAUCUGUGAGGAGCUUUGAAGGGAAAGCAACCAGUCCCCUGCCCAACCCCCUUUUCAGAUGACUAAGUCAUGACCCUUUUUAACAAGACUUCAAAGAAACCUCAUCAAAGAUAACAUUUAUAUUGAAUAAAACAGUACAACAGUUUUCCCCUUUUGACUGUAAAGCUUGAAAUGAAACACGAGCGCCUCAUUUCAGCUCUCUGGCAAACAAAGCAUAGUGAACCACAGCGAAGCAGUGGUUAUUGCAAGACAAACUUGGUGGACCCUAAGCUGAAUUUCUGACAUUAGGCAUGGUUUUUCAAGGGCUCAGGUCAUUAGGCAAUCAGAAAACACCAGAGCUCAUCUCGAUCAUCUCUGCCACAAAUUGUCAUCUGAGAAGGCACAGUCGCCGUGUGGUGGAAUAGCUCGCGGGACGUGGGGCUCACAAAGUCUGGGUUUUGCCCUGUGUUUGCCCUGCCUCUGCACAGCCAGAGGCCUCAGGUGAGACAUUUAACUUCUUAGGAAGCUGUUUCCCCUUGUAUGAAUGGGGAUAAUAAAUCCCCUAUAUUUCACAAAACUGUUUUAAGUACGUAAAAAUGUAUGAAAAAAUACUUACUCUGUGCUUGAUAAACAAUAUACUCUCGAUAUACGUGUGCUGGGUUGUAAUCAUUGGUGGUGUUUUCUGCAACACUCCCCACCCCCCAUACCAAUUUAAUAAAACAAAGGUAAAGGUAACAUUUUA